ACGGAAGGCAGCAGUGGGGAAUAUUGCACAAUGGGGGAAACCCUGAUGCAGCGACGCCGCGUGAGUGAAGAAGUAUUUCGGUAUGUAAAGCUCUAUCAGCAGGGAAGAUAAUGACGGUACCUGACUAAGAAGCACCGGCUAAAUACGUGCCAGCAGCCGCGGUAAUACGUAUGGUGCAAGCGUUAUCCGGAAUUACUGGGUGUAAAGGGAGUGUAGGCGGGACUGUAAGUCAGAUGUGAAAUAUGCCGGCUCAACUGGCAGACUGCAUUUGAAACUGCGGUUCUUGAGUGAAGUAGAGGUAAGCGGAAUUCCUAGUGUAGCGGUGAAAUGCGUAGAUAUUAGGAAGAACACCAGUGGCGAAGGCGGUUAGCUGGACAAUAACUGACGCUGAGGCGCGAAAGCGUGGGUAGCAAACAGGAUUAGAUACCCUGGUA
rnacentral:rRNA from 1 species